GAUGAAGAACGUAGCGAAAUGCGAUAAUUAAUGUGAAUUGCAGAAUUCCGUGAAUCAUCGAGUCUUUGAACGCACAUUGCGCCUCAUGGCAUUCCGUGAGGCAUGCCCAUCUCAGCGUUAGAAAAUAUUCUCAAAUUUUAGUUUUGUGCUAAAAUUUGGAUCAUGUCAAGGAAGCUAUUACUAUUAUUGUGAUCGCUCUUUGGAAAUUGAUAGGUCUUUGAGUUGCUACUCAUAGAACGUGAUGAAUCUUUCUUCGUUCUAUUGUAAUUCACUCUGGUAGUCCUAAAACUUGUAUGCCUGUGGCAUAUCUUGUAAUUUGACCUGAGAUUGGGUAGGGAUACCCGCUGAACUUAAGCAUAUCAAAAGCGGAGGA
rnacentral:misc_RNA from 1 species